UUACCUCUGGAGAAUAUCUUGAAUGUUA
rfam:Phalacrocorax carbo contig8389, whole genome shotgun sequence.